AUGUCAACCGCGACUGCAUCUCGGCCCAGCGGCCCCAUCCUUUUGACUCCCUUUCCCAACUACCAAUCCGCCUCGCUCUCGCGUAUCAAGCUCUCCGUCGCCGGCUCGCCGGUCAAGUCCGUCAGCGUCUCGUCUCCCCCCUCCUCCCCCACCACCACCCCCAAGAUCCGUCGGUCCUGCAUGUGCUCCCCGACGAACCACCCGGGCUCCUUCCGCUGCAGCCUCCACAAGGAGCGCAAGCAGGAGGCCCACGCCGUCAGCAGCAGGCCCGCCUCUCCGCCUUCGCCGCCGUCGAAGAGCACGGCCAGCCCGUUCGCGCAGCACAUCCCCAGCGGCAGCGGCUGCUCUACACGCUCUUACAGCGGGCUGGCGCGGCGCGUUCCCAUGGGGAGCGGGCACUGGGCACGCAAGGCGCUCGUGCCGUCCCCCGUGGCGCAGCAGUUGCAGUACCGGAAGCGAGCGGGCGGGUACCGCGCCGGGGCCAGCUGUCUCUCCGCCGCCUCCAUGGCCGGCCGCAGCAACCAGUAA
rnacentral:rRNA from 1 species